AAAGCGGGAAUAUCCGGCCACCGUCGCGAACGCGCCGCGCGGCUUCGCGCAACGUGUGGAAGCUCCCGAGGAUGUUGACGUCGAACAUGUGGUUGACGUCUUCGUCGGACAU
rnacentral:sRNA from 1 species